rnacentral:rRNA from 1 species
GACGAAGGGGGCAAGCGUUAUCCGGAAUUAUUGGGCGUAAAGAGCUCGUAGGCGGUUUGUCGCGUCUGCCGUGAAAGUCCGGGGCUCAACUCCGGAUCUGCGGUGGGUACGGGCAGACUAGAGUGAUGUAGGGGAGACUGGAAUUCCUGGUGUAGCGGUGAAAUGCGCAGAUAUCAGGAGGAACACCGAUGGCGAAGGCAGGUCUCUGGGCAUUAACUGACGCUGAGGAGCGAAAGCAUGGGGAGCGAACAGG